rnacentral:lncRNA from 1 species
GUGUAUUUAACACUUCUCGAGAAACCCUAGUCUUGCCUAAUGUUUUAUGUUUUUGAGGUUCGAAGGUAUUAAAGAUUUUAUCUUUCGUAAAUCUCUUCCUUGUUGCUUACUGUGUGAACUUGUUUUUGUUUGUUUUUAAUGCCUAUGAUGGUGUUAAAUAUACUUUGAGAGAGUAAUCUCUAGGAAAAAGAAAUCAACUCUGAGGCAUUUUUUCCUCCUUACACUGUUACACAUCUGAUUUCUCUUUUUUGAUGAUAUAGUGUUUUAAUCUUAACUGAAUAUAUAGUUGUUUCCUAGUCUGCUGUUACUGUUUUACGGCCUUAAUGAUGGUUUUGGUUUUAAUUGCUAUCUUAAUUUCUGUUUAGUGUUGGUUACCUGUUGGGGUUUUAGUCAGUUAGUGCAAGUGACGAUGAAAAGACAGGGACAUCAGAGUCUCCUUGUUAGGAGAUGUAAAUGAUGAUUAAUGUCUAAAUGGGAAUCUCUCUGAUGCGCAUGUUACAGACUAUCCAAGUGUUUUCAAUUCUGAUCGAGGUUUUUUUAGUUUUUUUUUUCAAUUCUUACUGUUCUUUGAUUUCAUUGUAGUUUACUAGUUUUUGUUCCUUUCUUAAUUUCUGUUUGGGUUUGGUUCUUGUUUAUCCCGUUGAGAAAUUUUGAUUGAGAUGUGCAAGUGACGAUGAAAAGACAGGGACAUCAGAAAACCUCCUGUUUGGAGAAUGAGAAUGAUGACUAAUGUCUAAAUGGGAAUCUCUCUGAUGCACAUCACUAAGAAUCCUCAAUUUGUUUUAUCUAUUGUUCAUUCGAUUUCAAGUGAUUGACAAUGUUUGUUUGGUAGCUGGUUUUGCCUAUGAUGCAUCUUUACUAUUGCACGUAUUAACAGAUCUUCAGUGAUGAGUAUCACUAAUUUCUGAGGCAAACCGCACUAAGUGUUCAUGACAUGUCUAAAAACUGACGAUGACUCUGGUCUGAUUAUUUGCAUUUUAGGUCUGUUCUCUCUUAUGCUUUAAUAUCUGUUUGCAGGAUGAAAAUUCGAGCACAUGAAGUUGAGAGCUAUCUAGCUUAAAAACCUCGGAAGAACUAGAUGAGAGAUUGAAGCUAUUUUGUAUUUGUUUUGCAUUUCAUAGGAUACUUCAUUUGUAAUUGUAAUCAUUUAACGUAAUCAAUAAUGGAAAUCUUUCUUCUUUCAACGAAUAUGAUUCUUUUGCUUUUUAACUGUGUAUCAAGAGUAGCAAUCAAGAGAAGACUUGUUACAGUUCAUCAAGAAAUAAAACCUCAAUCUAUCAACGAAAUACAUCAAUCGUGAUUCUUUGGGAAAUCACUAAAAACACUAAGCAAGUGGC